rnacentral:tRNA from 1 species
GACUGGAUAGCCUAGUAGUAAAGGCAUCACAUUGACAAUGCUGAGGUCCCAGGUUCAAAUCCUGGUCUAGUCA